AUGUAAAUUUUUGUAUGUAUUUUUAUUUAUUUAAAUAAUAAUUAAAUUUUAUUUUAAUCUCAGUAAUUAGUUUUAUAAAUCAAGGUAACUUGGAAGUAGUAAUUUCAUAAAGUAUUGGCAAAAUUUGUGCCAGCAGCCGCGGUUAUACAAGUGAUACAAAUAAAAAUUGUUCAGUGUAAGUUAUAUUAUAAAUCAAUUAAUGAAAUAAAUAUAAAAUUAUUAGGUGAAAUUUUAAUUUUAUUAAAUUUUAUUGUAAAUGUAUUGAAGCUUAUAAAUUUUAUUAAUAAACUAGGAUUAGAUACCCUAUUAUUAAAAAUGUAAAUUAUAAUAUUGAAGUAGUAGUAGUUAUGUUCUUGAAACUUAAAAAAUUUGGCGGUAUUUUAGUCUAUUCAGAGGAACCUGUUUCAUAAUCGAUAAUCCACGAUGUACCUUACUUAAAUUUGUUUUUCAGUUUAUAUACCGUCGUUAUUAGAAUAUUUUAUUAGAAUAAUAAUUUUCAAUAAUUUAAACUAUAAUUUAUAUCAGAUCAAGGUGUAGCUUAUAUUUAAGUGGUAAUGGGUUACAAUAAAUUUAUUUAAAUGAAUUUAAAUGUGAAAUAUUUAUUGAAAGUGGAUUUGAUAGUAAAAUUUUAAAGAUUAAAAAUUUGAUUUUAGCUCUAAAAUAUGUACACAUCGCCCGUCGCUCUUAUUAUUAAGGUAAGAUAAGUCGUAACAUAGUAGAUGUA
rnacentral:rRNA from 1 species